rnacentral:rRNA from 1 species
AGUGAACGCUGGCGGUAGGCCUAACACAUGCAAGUCGAACGGCAGCACAGUAAGAGCUUGCUCUUACGGGUGGCGAGUGGCGGACGGGUGAGGAAUACAUCGGAAUCUACUUUUUCGUGGGGGAUAACGUAGGGAAACUUACGCUAAUACCGCAUACGACCUACGGGUGAAAGCAGGGGAUCUUCGGACCUUGCGCGAUUGAAUGAGCCGAUGUCGGAUUAGCUAGUUGGCGGGGUAAAGGCCCACCAAGGCGACGAUCCGUAGCUGGUCUGAGAGGAUGAUCGGCCACACUGGAACUGAGACACGGUCCAGACUCCUACGGGAGGCAGCAGUGGGGAAUAUUGGACAAUGGGGGCAAGCCUGAUCCAGCCAUACCGCGUGGGUGAAGAAGGCCUUCGGGUUGUAAAGCCCUUUUGUUGGGAAAGAAAAGCAGCAGGUUAAUACCACGCUGUUCUGACGGUACCCAAAGAAUAAGCACCGGCUAACUUCGUG